UGUGUGAUUUUGCCAUUUAUAUACAAAUCCCAGUCCAAUAGCGACCCGGUACAAUAAGAGAACCAACAAAAUAUUUAACAAAAUCACAAUUUAGGGAAGUAGGGAGCAAAAGAGUUCAAGAACUCUCUCUUCUUUGAUGCCUUUGGAAAUCCUCAAGUUGUGGCUCUUUCUACUCUCUGUUCAAGCGAUUCACUCCUCAAAGAGUUGAUGCAAGAUAAGUAUCUUUCGUUUCUUGAAUAGAUUGUUAUCUGAGGUUAAUAUAUGAUUUCCUACUGUUUCAAACUGAAACAGGAUCUAUUGAGCUCGUUCGUCAACCAAGACCACUCUAUUGCUGAACUAGAUCCUUCGAUUUGCUUCUUCAAACACGUUUACGCCACUGCGUAGCUCCAUAUGAUUGUGUUGACACUAGGUUGCUGCUUUCUGGUACCAUAGGGUCAGACAGUUUGCAGUUUUCAACCGGUAGGUGAUAAGUUCUCCUAUUUCGAGAACUCCAGAUAGUUGUAGAUCAUGUACUAUAUUUUUUUAUUUUUCAUAUGUAUUGAUUAGUGGUAGUUAGAGGCAUGUCCCAACUAUCUAUAGUCAGUAUAGUAGAGGUUUCAUAGAUGUCAGUCAGAGUUGGUCAUGUAAUUUGAGUUUCUUUCUUCAGUUUUAUCGUGAUGUAAACUGUAUCAUCAUUAACUUUAUUCAGGCUUUUCAUGAUUA